rnacentral:rRNA from 1 species
UACGAAGGGGCUAGCGUUGCUCGGAAUGACUGGGCGUAAAGGGCGCGUAGGCGGUUUGUACAGUCAGAUGUGAAAUUCCUGGGCUCAACCUGGGGGCUGCAUUUGAUACGUAUGGACUGGAGUGAGGAAGAGGGUCGUGGAAUUCCCAGUGUAGAGGUGAAAUUCGUAGAUAUUGGGAAGAACACCGGUGGCGAAGGCGGCGACCUGGUCCUUUACUGACGCUGAGGCGCGAAAGCGUGGGGAGCAAA